rnacentral:lncRNA from 1 species
CAGAAACGGCUCGCCUAUAAACUACUAGACGGCGUCGUAUAGGUGGUCAUCGGCCGGGUGACACACCAGCGUACGUGUAGCUCCCGCGCGUCCACGGAUUAGUAAAGCUAGGGCCGUGUCAUCAGUCGGCAGAGAUGAAUCAAGGUGUAUAUAGAUAUAUACUCAACUUUUUUUUCACACCACGGAGUUCGUUACUCAUCAAAAAAUAUGAUUCGUUUGGAUCCUUUGGAAUUGGAUUCAUCCUAAUUUAAGCACAAUUUAGUUAAGCUAAUAAAGUUCUACAUAGAAUGUAUUUGUAUAUUAUUGUUAUUCAUACAAGGAAUAUAAUUAUGUGUUGCAUUUCUACUAUAAGUGAGAGCGUGUUAUAAGUUGAAGAGUAGAAACAUAGCAUAAUGAUCUAUAUAGAAUCAAUUUCUAUCUCUCACGUAAACUUCAAAUAUACUAUUACACGUAUACUACAUGAACAUCACACAGUACAUCCUAGAAACAUCACGUGUAUAUUACGUAAAUAUUACAAAAAUAUAUCAUAGAAGACACCAUAGAACAUUACAUGUAUACUUUGUGAACAUCACAUAUAUGCUAUUUGAACAUCACAUGUAUAUGAGAUAAUAUCUCCUACAACUAAAAAGAACAAAGUGUGGACAUUUUUUUGGUGCAACAAUUGUUUGGUUCGUCUGCCUGCCUCCCCCUUGCGAUACCGCGGCGUGUGCGCUGUACUUUCGAUUUUUAUAGUGCGCGCGCCGACAGGUGGGGCUUCGGGUUGCUCCGAGUCCUCUUCCAGACCGCACACGAGAGGUGACCACGGACACAAGCGUCGUGCCUAGCGCCUCGCCUCCCUCAAACCCUAGCCACACCUCUCUUCUUACCUUGCGGUUUCUGAUGGCGGCGGCGCACGCGGCCCCCUGCAUCUGUUAGCGGAGACGCAUGCAGCCCCUCUUGACUGGUGCGCCGCCCCGACCUCCCCAUCCAUGGUGUUGGCGUUGAGCACUCCGACGGUGCCGAGGACCAAGAUGGCGUUGUACGAGCGAGUGCCUCGACGCCUCCAUCGUAAAAUGCCGCCACAUCGUUGACGCCGUCCGCUGAUCCACUCGCGCGGCCUCAUGGCAAGCACAACGACCCACCUCCAUCGUCCCGUCACAGGCCAGGUGAACCUCUGAGUGUAGAACGCACUAGAUCUAUUGUUCCAGCCUUUCAAGUUCUUUGAUCUACCUUGCUCUUUCUAUACAUGUAUUAGAUAAGAAAGACAACAAGGAUUCAUUGGCAGUCUGCCUUGAAGUAAAAAAAAAGGCCUAUAGAAGGUGCUGCAGGUUAUGUGAUUAGUGUCGGUGGUGCCUUUUCAACAAAAAAAACUUAGAUAAGGUGUACAAGAGGAAAACUCUUUGGUUGGAUCAUAUAUCUGCAAAGAUUGUCUUGGUAUUCAAUGCAAAUUUCUAGGUUGUUGGCUGUGAAGGUACCUACAGGCAAGUAAUGUUUUUCUAUCUGAAUUUAUUAAAGAUUGAUGAAUCUAUAACCAUUUUAUAGACUCUGACGGCUGCUGAAAAUUGCUUCUUGUCACAAUAAGGGGUCUAAUGUACAUAUGUGACCUCUAUUACAGGACUUACAUUUCACAAAACUCAUUAGUUUCUUUUUUUUGGUUGCAUCUCCAGAUGAGUCAUCGGCCAAUCAUGCUUGCUGGUAACUAUUUGUACAUGCAGUCUUUAGUUUUCACUUACAACUUGAGAUGGCUACUCUGAACUUUGCUGCAUCUUAUUGUUUGCUAAACUUUGCCGCAUUAUAGACUGUUUGCUUAUAGCAUUGUUUAUGUGGGUUUCAGUUGUGUCCGUUGAACUGACCGAUAAAAUAUGUCCGAUGAAAAUCAGUUGGUCCCAAAUACCAACUCGUCCUCUUUCUACAUAACCAUGAGGGUCCAUGACCUGUAAAUAGAUGCACUUCAGUUCUCAUGUUCUUAGUAUACAUGAUCUCCGAUUUGUAAAUUAACAUAGCAAUUGUACAGGGGAUGAUGAAGCACAAACUUCUUAGGUAAGACAUGGUUAAAUCCAUGGCUCAAUGAGUUUAUGGACCUCCUAUCAGAUUAUGAAGUUGCUAAGAGCAAAGUUGAGCCAAUACAUGCCACAUCGUGCGACCUUAUGGACGCGCAGGCCACCGCCGUUGUUGAGACAGGCUGCAAGGGACCACCACUUGGCAAGGUGAGAACACGACGGAGCACGCCACCUCUGGUCUAGGUGAGGCCGUGGCAGGGCACCAUCAUCUAUCGAGGCGUGAAGCCGGGCGGGGCCGCCUCCUCUCCCCCACGGUCUCUUGCGGUUUGCCUCUGACCACCGGUGUCGACAGGGACCGUGUCUGACACUACGAGGACUACUGGAUAAUGUGGUGCGUGCCCUAGGAGGCAGCCAUGGGAGGGCUCGGGAUGCGGAGGCAUGGGCUUGGGAUGUGGGGGCGCCAGCGACACGGGUUCGAGAUGCGGCAACCGAAUCCAUUCUAUCCCAGCUCACCGUCGCUCACUCCGUACUCAUAUAUAGGUACAACACACCUCCAUCCCAGGCUCCUAGCAUCUGUCCCCUGUUUUGAACGAGCUUAUACAAUUCCUAAGAUUUUUGCCUGAAUGGUUUCUUGUCCGGUUGAGAUAUAAUUUCCUAUUUGUGUAUAGGUACAAACCACCUAUUAUUUUCUUUUCUUUACUAAAAUUGUUAUGACUUGAUAAUUUUGAUUGGCUUGGUUUCUAUUGAACUGACACACUAUCAAUAUUUACUAAAGGCGUGCUUAGCGAAGAAUUUUUGUGUUGUGCACAGUGCUCGGUGAUGCCUACUUGCCUAGAAUUUGGUAUUGUACGUUAUUUAAUCUGGUUUCUAUAAAAUGCACUAAUCUCCGAUAGCUCCUAUAACAGUUAUCAAUAUAUCAUGGUACUUGUACUAACUCAGCUAUCAAUCUUGUAGAUCAGCAAUCAUAAUCGAGGAUAUAAGCAAAGUUCCGCUAGGCGUCGCCUUAGGCGCGACUAGGCGCUAGUCGAGGCCUGUCCGCCUAGAUUAGGGGGUAGGCGGAGCUCUAGGCGACGGCGGCGCCUAGGCGAUUCCAGGCGGCGCGGAGGCGGCGAUUCGGCGCGCGGAGGCGUUCUAGGCGGCGCGGAGGCGGACGCAGCAGCCGGUCGCACAAAAAAUUCCGCUCCCGCGGUCGCACACGCUGUUUUCUUCGAGCGCGGGAAAGGAAGCCGCGCGCGGGAAGGAUAAGAGGGGGAUGAGGCCGCGCGCGGGCAAAAAGGAAGCCACGGGCUCGGACGGCUGCUCACCUCCCUGCUGCGCCUGUGACCCUGCCUGGAAGCUCGUCCUCGCCGCCGGUCGUGCUCGUGCCCGCCUGGAAGCAUCCCUCCCGCCGGCUUCGUCCACCAGCGGGCGCACCCCUCCCCCGACGUCUGCUUGCUCCUGCAGUCCUGCUCCCCUCCCCCGACGACUUCUUCAUCUCCUCGACUCCUCCCUUAGCGGCAGCCCCAGGUGGCAAGGUGAAUCCCCUCCCCCAUUGGCUGCUUCUGAUCCCCUCCCCUGCUUUUGUAUGUGGAUGGAUUUUGACUGAUUCUGAAUGCAUUGCUUUGCUAUUGAGUGAUGUGCUAUUGUCAUUGCCUGAAUUGAUACUUUCUGGUUAAGGCAGUGUAUAGCUUGUCCUUGUGUUUGACUGAAUCUGAAUGGAUUAUGUGAACUUUAAAUGACUAAAUCUAAAGCUAGUGUAUAGCAGUUAGCAGUAUAGCUUAGCUGCAGCUACUUGAGUUUAGGUUUCUUGUCAAUGACUUGUUAGUUGCUCACUGAACCCUUGAGCCUUGAGUUUAGGAUGUCAACAACAGAAACAAAUACUACAGCUGCUGCACCUGCACGUGAGAAUGAAGGAGUAAAUCUCUUGAAAAGGAAUUCAGAUGAUGUGGGAUGGGAAUACGGGGUUCUUGUUGAUCCUAAGAACAAGGACAAGGUGAAGUGCAAAUUCUGUAACAAGGUGAUGCAAGGGGGAAUUUAUCGUUUGAAGCAGCAUGUGGCCCAUGAUGGAAAGAAUGCGACGAAAUGCCCAAAGAGCACAGAUAAAGCUAAAGACAAGUGCCAGAAAUCAAUAGAUGGUGCAAAAAGGAAGAGGGCAGAGAUGGUGGUUCGUGAGCUAGAACUUAGAGAGGAAGUGAAUGUAUCUCGAGUUGGAGAAGAGUCAGAGGAAGUCACCUGUGUUGGAAGUUCAGAGCCUCACAAAUUGGGGCCCAUGGACAAAUGGACAAAGGCUAUUGAUCCUAAAGCAACCAGAAGUGAAUCUUUGCAGCAACAGAGGCUGAACAAGGAGUUGUGGAAAGAAAGAACACAUGAGGUGCACAAAUAUAUUGCAAGAUGGGUCUAUACUCAUGGUAAUUCACUUUUCUGUUAUUAUGUACUGUUGUGUCAUUUGUGAAUGUAGGAAACAUUUCAGAACAUUAAUUAUUAUGUUUUUUUGGUAGGAAUUUCAUUCAAUGCAUGUGACAAUGAUGAGUUCAAGCAGAUGUGUGAAGCCAUUGGCCAGUUUGGACCUGGACUUGAACCUCCAUGUCAGGAUUCUCUGCGAGAGAAAUUGCUAGAAGAAGAAUAUGCAAGAACCAAGAGGUUGCUGCAAGAAUGUGAAGCCGAGAAGAUGAAGAAUGGGUGCUCUAUUAUGACUGAUGCAUGGACAGACAGGAAGAGGAGAAGCAUAAUGAACCUGUGCACCAAUUGUGCUGAUGGAACAAGCUUUAUCAGCUCAAUGGAGAUGUCAGAUGUGUCACACACAAGUGAAGUCAUCUUUGAACUAGUGGACAAAGCAAUUGAAGACAUUGGUCCAGAAAAUGUUGUGCAAGUAGUGACAGAUAAUGCCUCUAACAACAUGGGAGUAAAGAAGCUAUUGCUUGAGAAGAGACCACAAAUAUUUUGGACCUCUUGUGCAACCCACACAAUAAACCUGAUGCUGUAAGGAAUUGGCAAUUUGGCUCGGUUCAAGAAGGUGAUUGAGCAAGCAAAGGCAUUCACUAUAUUUGUCUAUGGGCACACAAGAACAUUAGAAUGCAUGAGAUAUUUCACAGAGGGGAAAGAGAUAGUAAGGCCAGGAGUGACUAGGUUUGCUUCAACUUUUCUCACAUUGAAUAGCAUACUAGAGAAGAAGGACCAGCUAAGAAAGAUGGUGGUUCAUAAUAGGUGGGACUCACUGAGGGAUGUAAAAUCAAAGAAAGGAAAAGAUGCCACGGCUAUUGUAUUGAAUCCAACCUUCUGGAAGGAUGUGAAGCUAACCGUGAGUGUUUUUGAGCCACUGUUCAAAGUUCUCCGCUUGGUUGAUGGGGAUGUGAAACCAUCCAUGGGUUUCGUUUAUGGAGAAAUACUAAAGGCAAAGAAAGAGAUCAAGGAGUCCUUGGGCAAUAAUGAGUCUCGGUUCAAGGAGGUCAUUGCUAUUGUUGACAAGAAGAUGAAGGGAAGACUUGAUUCUCCACUGCAUUUGACAGCUUAUUUGCUGAAUCCACACUACAGUUAUGCUAAUCCAGCAAUCUUUGAUGAGCCCAGAAGGAUUUAUUAGUUGUGUGGAGACCUUCUACUAUCAUGAUGAAGAUAAGCAAGAUCAGGCUGCCCAUGUUGACCUGAGAAAGUUUCAAAACAGGGAAGGACCAUUUAGCAAGAAGCUGGCAAGGACUUUCCAAAAUUUUGAUUACAACCUAGGUAGAGGUAGUACCAUUUACAACAUGAUUGUUUGUUGUUUUCAGCUCACAAUAAAUUAAUUGUACCUACUAACUAAAAGUGGUGUUUUCAUUCAUUCCAGCAUCAUGGUGGCGGCUGUAUGGAACUGAAGUACCAGCCUUACAGAAGAUGGCAACAAGGAUCCUUUCUUUGACAUCAAGUAGCUCUAGUUGUGAAAGAAAUUAGAGCGGGUUUGAAGCGGUAAGUAGCUAUCUGCUGUCAACAUUUCAGGAGUUUUUGAAUUAAAUUGCAGACCUGAACAUGUUCUUAUUUUAAAUCUAUAGAUACACACUAAGAAGAGAAAUAGGCUUACUACAACACGUCUCAACAAGUUAGUCUACAUUCAGUUCAACUCCAAGCUGCUUAAUAAGAGAGAGAAAAUCAAGUCAAAGAAGAUCAUUGAUGUUCUCUUGUCUAAUGAUACAACUGAAGCUCAAGGAUUUUUGCAUGAGAAUGGAGAUGAUUCUGCAUUAGUGGUCUAUAGAGAUGAGGAGGAGGAAGAAGAGAUGGAAGGUACUGGGAUACCUUGGUCUGUUCUUGGAGAUGCAGUGGGAGCAGAAGAACAACUUCAGCUGCGUAGGAGUGCUAGAGUGAGAGAGCUCUAUGAAGGAGAAGAGUUUGAAUCUGAUAAAGAAGAGUUUGAUGAAGAUGAGGAUGACUACUUGGAACCCUAUUGAAGAAGGAAGAUGAUAUGGUCCUGGGGCCUUUUCGCAUGUCAUGGUUUAUCUUUUGUGAUGCAUUCAUGCAUAUAUGUGCAAUGUGCCAAUGUGUGUCUUAAACUUGUGAACUGUUGCUACUGUGUGCCUGUGUGACUGUUUUUCUUCUUUUCUGAGAACUAUGUGUUGUCUGAACAAGACCUUUUAUGAAUUGUGUUGUGCACUUGUACUGCUGUCCUGUCCACUUGUCUCUGAUUAAUAGCUGUUGCUGAUCUGCUAUGCUGUGUUCAUUGAAUGGAUGGGAGAUGACUGGUAAACAGAUAAGUAUCAACUUGCUAUUUUCUAUUUAUUUGAUGAACUACUUGCUGUGUAUUGAAGUAUUAAGUUUUGCAAGCUGUCAAUCCUUGCUGUAGGACUAAGAACAACAUGUCUAUUGAUUAUUGAGCCUAAGCCACUAAGAUAUGUCUACUACCCUCUAUUUUAUAUAGAUUCAGCUAGUAUAUGCUUCUUAUUAAUUCAGCAUUUUCUGCUGUAUAUAAUAUAUAUAUAUAUAUGUAUAUAUAUUAUUUAGUAAAUUGGCAAAAUGCCUAGCAAAACACCUAGGAACGCCUAGGCUGGCCUAGGCUAGCCUAGGCGCUAGGCUAGGGGUCAUCGCCUAGAGAGCGCCUAGCGCCUAGCUGAACUUUGGAUAUAAGGAAAUGUAAACAUAUUAUUUCACAGAAACUAUGCAAAGAUCUGUCACAUCUGGUACCAGGCUAACUUCCUCGGUAUGUGUUCAAUCCAAUUCUUUAGACUCUGUUGUGCACUAUCCGGAAGUGUAGUGGACUAUUGUUCCGUAAUAAUGGUUUGCGGAUUGUAAGAUGACUAUUUACAUCUGUGCUAAUAAUACUGAAAUUUGAGUGGCGCACUGCACUUUAUAGAAGUUUAGGCACACUGUUUUCAGGGGAUGUUCCUAAGCAAGCUGAUACAAGUGAGCUGAAUUUGUUUUCAAUGUGACUGCAUAUAUUAUCUUCAAAUUUGUAGAUUGGAUAGUUCUUGGAUAGUUGGAUCUUGGUCCCAUUAAUGAAUUAUAUUAAGGUACUUCACCGGACUGCUAUUUCAUCGUCUUUUUCUGCAGGAAUGAGAUGUUUUUAGUGUUCAGUGUACACGUCGAGCUUUGAGGACGACACAAAGAGGACAAGCUCGGCAAGGGUGGUCCGAGCGUCGUGCGACCACGCGCAUAGGUGGUGAACGUGGAUCCUUAAGGUGUGAAAAAUAAGAAAAACAUUAUACAGAUUUUUUUUGAUAUCCACAUCACAAUACUUAGAUAUCAACUGAUAUCAACAGCAGGAGCAACACGUCAAUUCCUUUUGAGUUGAGUUGUACGUUUGAGCAUCAACGUAACCCCUUUUUUCUAACAUUAUUUGGGUGCUCAGUAGAAUCUACUAGAAUAAUAUUUUUGAAUGAGGGGCAGUACGUCUAGAGUCUGCUUGUACCUGAGAGAGAUUCAUGUAGUUUUUAAUCAACUUAUAGCUCCUCAACCAAACGCAUCCAAAAGUAGGGGUGAUGGUGCAGUGAAAUUUGAACAAGCUAAAAGCUCCUUCUGGUUAUACAAUAUACAAGACAUCAAUAUUAAUGAAUCUGACUUUUGCGACACAUUUAUACGAUGAGUUGUUUAAAGGUUUUAUGAGGUUUUUAAGACGUGCAGUAUUACUCAUGUGACAGGCAUUAGUAUUUACAUAUAUACUCAAAUAUGUGUACAGGAUGGUAUGAAGUUCGUGGAUGUAUUAGCGCAUGAAAGAAACAUAUAUCAAUUAUAGUAUUGUUAUUUUAGCGUACAAUGCGUAUGUUUUUAGUAUAAAAUUUUAGUUGUCCCGUAGCAACGCACGGGCAUACUACCUAAUGAAAAAUAUAAAAGUAAACCAAUAAAAAUUAUUAAAGUAAUUAUUUAGAGAAAAAUAGCAAAGAAGAAAAAAUGCACAUAAAACAUUAAUAAUAAUAAUAAUAAUAAUAAUAAUAAUAAUAAUAAUAAUAAUAAUAUAGAAAAUAAAAUAAAUGAGUAAUUUAAGUAAGAAACAUUAUAUGUUUACUACACAAACAUAACAUGUAUAUCAUAUAACAUAUGAAAUAAAAAAAAUGAAAGUAAAAAAUGUCAUAUAGUAAAUUAAAAGAAAGAAACAUAAGCAAGAAAAUAGUAAAAAGGUAAAAAGAAAUAGAAAAAAUAAGAAAAAAGAAAAUAAAAAUAAUUAAUUAGACCAUAGUAAAAUGAAAGAAAUGAAAUGUAAAAAAUACAAAAAAAGGAGAGAAUAAUAAAAAAUCACAGAAAAAAUUAAUAAUAGUAGAAAAGAAACAAGAAAAGAAAAUAAGAGAGAAUUGAACGGCGACAACCUGCCCAGUCUAAAUGAUAAGGGCUAUUACGAACUGCAUACUGUGCUUGUUAUGGGCCGGUCAUGGGCCGUCCAACGUUCUGCACUUCGUUCGGCGCAGUAUGCACUUUGCCGUUCGGCGCGCGGCUCCCGUCCGAGGCUCCGAGCGUGCGUGGACGUCCCUAUGAUUUCCGCUUCUACCCCGCCCACAAGAAUAUUUUUUUUCAACUUCCCUGUUCCGGAUCGGAAUCCGCCGACGGCCUCCCUCCACAGUCCACAACUUCCCUGUUCCUGCAGCCGCUUCAUCAUCGAGCCCGCUCCUUCAUCUCCUCCUGCUAUCGCCGCUGAGAUCACCUACGGGAUCCGCUUCUGCGACCAUCCUCUGCCGCAAUCUUCCGCCUUCCACUGCCAGAGAUCCCACUGCCAUAUCCCAAAGAUUUGUUCCGACCGGUGACCACAGCUGCCGCUGGUGCCUUGCAGACGGAGUCCGUCGACGGUCACCCCUGCCACCACCAAUCGUCUUCACCCUCGGUCGGGCGCCGCGCGCCAUAAUUUCUGAUGCGGGUGCCUCCAUUUAGCCGCACCCGCAACGCCGGGCCACCAGAUAAGCGCGCCACCGCCGCUGCCUGCCCGAUUCACCGCCGUCUGCUCGGCUCUUGCCAUUUAUAGACAGGGUUCGUGCCGGCGGCGCGGGCUGCGCGCGUCCUGCAGUGACGACCGCCUCAGCGCCCUCACCGACGACCUACUGCUCCUCAUCUUGCGCCGCCUCGACACCCGCACUGUGCUAGCCACCGCGACCCUCUCGAAGCGCUGGGCCUCCCUCCCCCGUGGUCUCUCGACUCACUUGAUUUCAGGGUCAGUGACAUACUCCCGCCGCGGUACCACCGUUGCAUCCGUGCCCACCGCGAAGGCGCUCGUUAUACUUAUGGUCUCCAAAUCAAUCUCAAGGCGAUUUGCGCCAGCAUCGAGCGUUAUCAACGCCGUGCCAUGCGCACUAUGGCCGCGUCCAUAAAAAACUUCCUUGACGCGGAUGAUGAUCACGACAGAGGUGCUUUGGGUCUCUGGAGUGUCCGCAAGCUGAGGCUCGAGUUCUUUGCUACCCAGUGUUCAAGCGGCAUCAAUCGAUUGAUAACCAAGGUUGUUGAUUCAUGGGGUGUAGAGGAUCUGGAGGUUUCAGCUCAGAGUAUGUUCCGGCGAAGCGAAUGGAAAUUGCGGGUAGUGUUUUUUCGAGACUAAUAUCGGAUAAUAAUUUUCAUUACCCGAAUUUUUAACUACCCGACCCAAAAAAACCGGGUAACCCGAACGCCCACGGUUAGCCAGGGGAACCAUUUCUUGUGUUCAUGUAAUGUCAUGCGGUGCAAGUAAUUCUCAAGGCACUAGUUAACUCUUUCUACUUUGCCACCAGAUUGUGGAUGGUGGGCUUAACGCAUUUGCAGAAGUACCUUCAAGGCAGAGAACAGAUAAGUCCAAGGGGGCUGGUAAAUGUUCUGUAAUUAUCAGUGAAAAUUGCAGCUGGAAACCAUGGACUUUGAAGAUACUGCCGAACAAGGUAGCCACUAUAUGAGCUUGUAAAUGGAUGAGGAUGACCACUAACAAGAUUGAAGGAUUGCUAAUAAUACCUCGAGCUGAUUGCUAAUAAUGAUGCUCUGUGCUUGAUCAGCAACUCCCAUUCAAUUAGUUAUGGAGUAAUCUCCAAUAUGUGUUAGUUAAAAUGCGUAAGUUAUAUAUGCAUAAUGGUGAUCCCAAUUUGAUAAAUUAAUUUAUGCAUACUAGUGCCCCCCAUCUAAUAAAUGAUAUAAGCCUGUUGUUAGUACUUGGUCCAUUAUUUUUGUGCUUUGGAGACUUCAACUUGCUGUUGCUGAUCUUGUCAUGCUUGUUCUCUCUUGUUUAUCUUCUCUCUGUGUGAUUUGUUUGUUCAUAUUGCCAUGUUUGUCCCAUUUUCUUAUCACAAGUUUAGUCAGUGAUGAGAAGGGGAAUAUACAUGCUUUCUGCGGAACUUAUUAUAUUGAAGGAUGUAUUUGACAUUGAACUUUACUCGUAUACUGGUAACUGACUGCUGGCAUUGUUUUGAAAGAAUGCUUGUAUAAAUAGCUGGACUCUUCAGCUUAGCGAUACCAAACCAAGUUUGAAUUAUGAGUUUACAGGAGCCUAAUAAAUCAAAGAAUUGAUAAGACCACCUUAUGUCCUGUUCAGUUUCCAACUUCUCAUUCAGCCACCAAAGCUCACAAUGAACUACCUGUACAUUGGGUGUAAAAUACUAUUGCACUUCAUAUGUUCAAGAAUGGUUUUCUACCAGUCCAGACGAACAAAAAAAAGUUGUUCUGGGAAAACACCAAUCUUUGACAGUGAACAUUGCAUCAUUUUUUUAGAUUACAUGAUCUUUUGUACUCGCUUUCUUCCUCUCUUUUAAAGCGUAGUUCACUUGCAUCAUCUUGAAUGGUGCAGAAGAUGCAAGUCACUUUUCUGAAUGAGAAUAAAAACUCUAAAAGAGACUACUUUUUUCAAACCCUUGAUGUGAUUUGAGAGAGUGAGUUUGGAUGCAAAUGCUUUUUUUUAAUAAAAACUUCUGGAUGCAAAUGUCUUCUCGUUUAAUCUAGAAGAACCUUGAAGGUCUAGCACUUAUAUAGUUAUUAUGUUUGGAUCUUUUCCAUUCAAAAAAAAGUUAUGUUUGGAUCUUCAGAAGAUCUUUCUAUCCACGUACACAAUUGUUCGAUUUUUUUCCUUUGUACUGUAGUUAGCCUCUUUUCUUUUAUAUUAAUUAAAAACCGGUUCGACAAAAAGAAAAACUUAGCACUUUUCGUACAGUAUCAGACUGUUCAUUCUAUGGUGGAAUUAACUUGCAGUGACAAGUCACCGCAUGCUCGCAUUUGAUCUCAGGUCUAUGCAAUACAUAUGGUUUUUCUUGUAUAAUGUAUAUGUAGAAAGACCUAUUAGUUUCGUAAUUGGAAAUGUACGUAAUCAAAAAAUGGAUGAACCAACAAGAAACGUAGUUACGUAGCAGUAACGGUUUGCAAUUUUGCCCUUGUUUAGAUCUGAAUUUUUUUUAGAUUUCGCUACAGUAGAAUUUUCGUUUGUUUGUGGCAAAUAUUGUCCAAUUAUAGAAUAACUAGGAUCAAAAGAUUCGUCUCGUGAUUUACAGGUAAACUGUGCAAUUAGUUUUUAUGUUCGUCUAUAUUUAAUGUUUCAUGCAUGUGCCUAAAGAUUCGAUGUGACGAGAAAUCUUGAAAAUUUUUUGGUUUUUAGAGCGAACUAAACAAUUCAUUGGGAAAUUGGGCCGCGGUCAAUGUCUUUUCAGCUGGUCGAAGCCAGAGAUUGGGCUGGCCCACUAGACGCCGGCCCGAUCCAAGGCCCACCAAAGUCGCUCGUCCAAGGAAGUAGUAACAUCUGGACAGCCUCCCAGUCCCAGCACGGCAGCAGGGAAGAAGAGUGACGAGCUGGGUGAAUCCAGGCAGUCCACCGUGACAUCAGCGGCGGGAGAUGGCCCGGCGCAGCGGCGAUAGGAUCCGGCUCGGGUGUGCGCGACGGGUCAGGAGCGGAGCGGGGGAGAAGGCAUAUAAAAAAUGCAAAGGCCUUCGUCUUCCUCUUCCUCCUCACCUGGCAUCCAGAGAGGAAGGGGAGGGAGGAACUCGGGGACACAGAGGGGCGUCCGGAAUUUCCUCUGCUUCCGUUUACCGCGAAACCUCUGCCUUGAAGGAAGAAUCCGUUCCUCUGCUUGAUCUGUAUUCUUCUGGAGGAGAAGAGAAGGGGAAGCGGAGGAGGAUUGAUAGAGCUGGAAGGUGAAUUGGGCACAGAGACGCGCAGUAUUUGAAGGUACUGCUCUUCCCAGUCCGCUAAACUGCGGCUCCUUUGCUCUUUUCCUCGAUCGUUGCUGCUUGCAGCUGUAAUUUUGGCGCGGAUUUGAGUUUGGAGGUUCGCACCAUGGUCCCUUUGGAUUUUGUGAUUUGUUUGAAUUCUCGACGUAUAAGGUUCUUCAUGGGUGGUUGUUUGAUCUGAACGAUCCGUCCCCCCUUUUUUUUCUUGUUGGGAUUGGAUUCUCUCCCACUUUCAGCUCUCUUCCUGUGCUCGGAUUCCUCUGGUUCUGUGAUUCGGGGAUCCCACAUGAAGUGCGGGGAUAUCUCAAGUGGAUUGUUUGAAUUCGAUUCUCCGGGAGCUGCAUUCCGGCACGAUUUGAACCAGUUUUCCCUGCGAUCAAGCGCAAUCUGAGCUGCUUGGCUUGCGAUUCCCGUGAUUUGGAGCUGGUUGGGAGUUUACUGAUUCGGAUCGAACGAUUUGCCUAACAAUCUCUACCAAUUUUCACUUGGUAUUCCUUUGUUGUUCGGUCGGAGAAGGAAGCAGAGUCUGGAGUUGUUUAGGUUGGUUGCUGGUUGUGGUUUGGAUCUCCUCCGUUUUCCCCUGUUUUUUUUUUGUCUGGCGUUCUGUAUCAUAUUUGUGAAGCCUGCACAUUUCAGUCUUUCCCCCUUUUACAAGGAAGUUGUUCUCUUCCUUGCUUGAUUGGUCUUUCUUGUUCUUAUCCCAAUCUGUUGUCGCUCUCAAAAUUCCCUUUCCAUUUGAUUGCUGAAUUAUUGAGAACGCAAAAUUGUGUAUAAUACACCGUAGAGUUCAGAUUUCAUUUGAUUGAUUGAUUGCUUGUUUUCUUCGAUUUUACUGUUGAGCUAAUGAGUUAAAUUGAGCUCAAUUACAUUUUUAUUCCAAUUCGAUCUCUUUUAGCCUUUUUUCUGAUCUGACAUGGGUUCAAUCAGAAAACCAGCAGCUCACCAUAUGUGAUUAGUCAGUUAAAGUCGAGUUGGAUUUUAGUGGUCAUCCCGUUUUAUCUCAGGAUUUGAUUGGUCAGUGGAAUUACUACCCGUUUCCAAAAUAUACUUUUUUGGGGGGUAAAAUCAAACUGAAAUUCAAUCAGUCUCCUACCUUUCAGUUUCUCCUCCUUUGCAGAGAAUUAAAGCAGAUGACUUCUCUUCUCUUGAGAUUUUUUUGAAUGGUCUGAUUUGAGCUAAAUUUUACUACCAUUUCAUCCCUUUGUCUACAUGGAAUUUCAGCUCGUCGCGAAAUGGAGAAGGAGGGGAGGAACCACUACCACACGCGGGGCUCCUCGCGCGGCGGCGGUGGGGGCACCGCUACGGAGCGCGACCUGCUGUUACAGUGGGGCAACCGGAAGCGCCUUCGCUGCGUCAAGGUGCAGCGCCGCGACGUCGAGGCCGCCGCCACCGCGGCUGCCGAGAAGGCCCAGCGCCGCGCCGCGGCCGCAGCUGCCGCAGCCGCCCAGCACCACCCAACCGGCCACACCCACCGCCGUGUUCUCAGGUCUGUGCCUCUCUCUCUCUCCUCUCUUUCUCUCUCUUAUUAUUAUUUUUAUUAUAUCGUUCGUUCCUUCGUGGUGUCGAUGUGCCCAUUGCGUGUGCUUUGUUUUGGUGGCUACUCGUUAAACUACUGCCCAUUUUGGGCUGUUUUGUAAAGCAACAACUGGAUAUCACGUGAUGUCGUCCUGGGCACGUGGGUCGACAAGAAAAGGCAGAGGCCUGAUCUAGUUUGGUUUUGAUUUGAAGAGAAAUUCAAUUUGAAUGAAUGGUGGACAACUGGACAUCAAAUUCGAAGAUGUGGUCUGUCUUUUUCCUGAAGAGCUGAAAAUACCAAAGUUGCUAGUUUUCUGGUAGAGGAGCCCGCAUGUUAGGCGAAGCAGUGUUUUUUUUUUUUUUUUUUUUUUUUUUUUUUUUUUUUUUUUGAAACAUGAUUGCCUCAUUGUCAUGGGUUGGCCUAUAGUGGUGAUUGGUCCAGCUUUCUCUUCCUCUAGAGCAUGGAGCAGCGCAUGCCCAGUACUGCCCAAUUCAGUUUUGUUGGUUUUUAUUUACUUGCAUCGCUAAAAUUGGGCCUGUUUUUUUUCCCCACAAAAAAUAAGGCCUGGAAGGCUAAAAGAAGAUAGUGUUUAGAGCAGAAAUCUUGAUAGUAGUUACAACACUGAAAUUAGAAGCUUGUUUGGCUUAUCUCCUCUCCUUUUCAUUCCAGGUGAGAUUGAUGUCUGGAGUUUAAGGACCAACAGGCUCCUUAUCUCCAUCUUCUCCAGCUGAAUAUCUGUAUUUGGAUCCAUUCUCUAAAUUUUCAAGAUUUCUAGCUUAUUCGCCAAUUUGAUUUCUGCAUCACAUGACUUACCUGACCUUUUGUUUGUACAGUUUUCUCAAACUGAUUUGUGAUGUUCCUUCACUGAAACUAUUGCAAAAAAAGAACUAUGAGACUGCUGUCAAUAAUAGCUUAUCAGUAUUCUCUUAAAAAGCGACUCAUCAGCAUUACGAUAAAUGUUGAUGGCUGAGUGUUCUUUGCCUUCAUCUAUUGCUAUCUUUGGACUCUAGUCACGUCAUAUAAACUAUAUUUUGUUGACUAAUUUUGGAUUCUGAAGAAAACACCAAUUUUAUCUUGAUCAGUCACCACCACACGUAUAAGUGGAUGGUGAGGGCCUGCUUAUUCAUUGUUCUUCCUUUUGCCUCCUUGAAUUCAUAGCUUGUUGCCUGGACAGCACGAAGCGUUGAUAUAGGCAGUAGGUGGAAGUUUUUGCCUUCUAUGUUGCCCCUCUCCCCUAAAUUGGAGGUGAAUCAUGAAUUUAUGCAGUCUGCCUAUUUCAGAAUUUAAUCAUAUUUUGAAAUAAAUUGCAUGAGGGUUAAAAAUCUAGCAUUUAAUUUUCAUUUUUAAAAUGAAACCAUUUGAACAUCCUUUUGCCAGAAGAUUGAACUGCAGUAUGUCCCUUUUUCAUUUAAAAAUAUCAAAAUUCAUGCAUUCUAUGUUUACUGGAAAACUCAAUGAAUCAAAUUUGUAGAAAUAUAUCUUGUAUGCAUAUAUUUUCCCAUUAUGUGAACACCUUCAGUGUGUGUCGCUUCCUUCUUUUUAUCAUGUUUGUUCUUUGCUUUGUCUUACAUAUGACUUAGAGCAACAAGAUGUUUUUGUUGGAUAGAUUAAACUGAUAAUCAGGCAUUCUUCUCUGCAUCCCUUCUAAUCUAUGUUGUUACUGAUUUUGCAGGAACUCAGAAGAGUUUGCAAUCAUGAAAUCGCCAGCACGCCAACAACAGAACAACAGGAUCCACACGGUUGCUUCACCAGACAGGGAGUGCCCUGGUAGAGGUAACAACAACAAUGGAGUUCCACAGACCUAUCCAGAUGACAAGAAAGGCUCUUCAUCAGGGAGUGAGGGGUCCAUCUGGCCAAAGUUUGCAAUCACCCUUUCAAACAGGGAAAAGGAAGAGGAUUUCCUGGUGUUCAAAGGAUCCAAACUGCCUCAAAGACCCAAGAAAAGAGCCAAGGUCAUCCAGAGAACCGUCAAUGUAUGACCCUAUCAUAAUAGCUUCUGAUUUGAAGAAAUUAUUUUCUGUUAAACUGAAUGCGAUCAAUCCACAUCAAUGUGCAUAGGGUAUUAUGUUGCUGUCCAUGGUAAUACUAUCUCCAUACCAAAAGAAUACAAUUCUUGCUUCCCAUGGAGUUAAACAAUUUUAAAUUUGACCAAAUUUAUACAAAAAAACCAAAUAACUAUCAUUACAUUAAUUAUAGAACAUAUUUUCAUAGUAAAUCUAUUGGAAGACAUAAAUGUUGAUAUUAUUUUCUAUAAAUUUCGUCAAACUGAAGAAAGUUUGAGUUGUCUCAAACCUAGAAUCUUUUUUCUGAGCACAGAGGGAUUAGGUAAAUAUACCUUGCUUCACGCAGAGAGAUUCCAAACUCAUAAUAUGCAAAUGCCAGCAGACAGCAGUACUGUGCAUGUUCAUUAAAAAAAUAUACUCCAAACUGUAGGGUUACUGCUGGAAAACAUAAAUUUGACCAGUGUUGUAAUUUUUAACUUUGUUUAUGCACUAUUAUUAAUAGAUCCAGCCAUACAGGGCAUCAGGUCACAUGGACCAUAGACCUGCCUCUGUGAACUCUGCCUGAUCUGUCCCCUGAACACUGGAGACCUGCAAAUAAAAUAGCGCUCGGUGGGUACCUGGACAUUUGAUUUGCUUACCAAGAAGCACCCAUAGCACCAUAGCAUGCUUCUGUAUGAAGCAAAUAAGUUGAUGCCUCCCAUCUGGUUGUCCCCUCAAUGCUUGAUGAGUUGCACAGUUGCACUGCUGGUUCCUACUAUCACUGCAACUGCUCUUAUUUGAAACUGCAGAACUUCCUACUAGCUUGAUGUCAUCAGAGAAUGUCACGAUUGUUUUAUUGAUUAGCUAAUAUGCUACUGCUAUUGAGCCAGAGUUGCUUUGCUAUAUCAAUUUAAUUCACAUCUAAUAUUUUUUUUGGCGAAAAGAAUAUAUUAGAUAUGAACUGAACUGAUAUAUUACUCCUAUGUGAUUUGUUUUGAGGUCCAAGCAUCCAUGGAACUAACCUUAAGAACACUCUGUCUUGUAUUUUUAUGUAUCUCUUGAGUUUGCAUAUGAGAAAAACCAUCAUUCUGUGAUUCUUGCCUAAAUAGUGUUCAUUUGCAGUUUGUAUGCCCAGGAACGUGGCUAUGUGACUUGACUCUCGAAAGGUAUGAAGUCCGGGAGAAGAAGGUUUCCAAGAAGGUGGGUGGAUUGUGGAAUGUCGACAUCUAUCAAUUUCAUACUCUUGGAGGAAUUCAUUCAGUCAGCUGACAUUUGAACUGAUUUUGCAGCGCCCUAGGGGAUUGAAAGCUAUGCAUGACAUGGAUAGUGACUCGGAAUAAAGAAGAAAAGAGCACUGAACAUGAGAAGCUGAAUAUUAGAAAGAAGGCCAGGACAGAUCCAGCAUAUGGAGGUCGAUGAUAAAGCAUCCUGAUUGAAUGAAUGGCCUGAUCAACAGGUCACCAUUUCUCACGAUUGCUACUGGAGAUCAAUUUGUUCCAAAAGGACUAGCUUGUGGAGAUCGGAGGACAAACCAAAUGUAAGGAACUGCACAGAAGAAAAAGAGAGGAGAGAAGCAGGAGCUGGAAUUCCUGAACAUUAGCAAACCAUUCAGUUCCCUGUAAAGCAGCAACGCUGUUUUGCAAAGCCUCUCAUGUUAAUUUCGCACUGCCAAAUAUCAACGUGAUCGCGAAGCUAGCCAGUCCUGGCGCGUCUAGUUUGCCGGGUUAUCUGACAAUAAAAAUUAAUGUGAAUCUGAAAGGGCCUUCCAUAGUUUCUUUUUUUCUCAUGGUGCUGUAUAAAGGUUCAGUGUACAUUCAUUCAGGAGCAUGAGACUGUCCAGCACUCCAGUGUGAGUGGAUCAGGAUUCAGGCAACACAAAUGAUUGCACCUCUUUGUGUAAUUCAGGACAGACAGACUUGUAAAUUUUGAAAGUUUCAGUAGUUUUUAUACAGACCUACCCUCUCCGUCCUAGAAAAUAGAAAAAAUUCCUAUUAACACUAGAAACUUGUCUUUUCUUAUUUACCCCCCUUUCAGUUUUUCUUUCCUAUCUGACACUCCCGUUACUUUAGAGUUGUAACGGUGUCAAGUUUCAGACGAAAAUAUAGUUCUGCCUUUGUUUUUUUUUUUUGUGUUCCUUUUUGCUUGCUAAAGAGAAACAUGACAGUGGGAAAUAAAAAGGCCAAAAAACAACAAUAGCUAGUAAAAGGGAACGCCACGACUAGAAAAAAAAAACAACAGAGGUAAGCAGUCUUUUCUUUGGGGACUUGAAAAUUUAAAUCAUUGAAGUGUCAAGUUUGGGUGCCAAAUAAAAGUAGAAGUUUUCUUAGUGUUAGAUAGAAAAAAAAUCCUAAGAAAAAGUGCAAUUGUAAGUUUAGGAUAAGUCAAAUUUUCUUAAGUUUAUCUAAGAUUUUGACACGUACUUUAAUUUGGAUUUGAUAUUUAACAUAUACUAACAAGAUUUAAAAGAUCCGUCUCAUAAAUUAUAGACAAAUUAUACAAUUAAUUUUUUUAUCUAUAUUUAAUGUUUCAUACAUGUAUAGUAAAAUUUGAUGUGACAAGAAAUCUUAAAAAGUUUUUGAAUUUUGCCUGCUGCAGCCUGCAGGUAGCCUUGGCCACGUCUGGCUGGCUGUGGCUGCCUCAACGCGUAGCCUCGUGGCGGACGGCACGUCGUAGUCGGCCGGACGGCGACGAGCAAGGCUUGUCUGAUUUUUUUUUUUUCCAAAACAAGAGAGAACAAAUCAGGCGUUGGGACUCAAAGGAAUUCGACGAGCAGCCUCAACAGCACAAAAGGGGUAGUAGAUUAAGGUUGCAUUAUUUGCUUGUAUCGCUCGGUGCUUUACAGCAGCAAAGAGGGAGAGAGGGAAAGAAAGCGAGAGAGCUGCUGCUUUGUUAACCUGCUUUAGUUCUACGCUUUGCCCCCCUUUAUCUCUCAAAAUAAAAGCGUCGCUUUUCUCUGCGAAUGAGAUGCAAAUACCUCCCAAAGGCGAUACGUACAUACGUGGCUUUCACUUCGCAAUAAACAAAAGAGGGGGUGAAAAGUCACAAUCUGAAGCUACGAGGGAAAUCAUGAUGAAGCGACAUUUUCUCAUCAUCAGACGAAUUAAGUUCAAUGUUCCUGCUUAGGCCUUGUUUGGUUCCACCAACUAAAUUUUAGCUAGCUAAAAUUAUUUUAGCUACUAUUGGGUGACUAAUGGAACUAAACUAUUUUAGCUUCUUUUAGUCAAUGUGUUUGGAACUUUAGCUACUAAAGUGACUAAAGUUUAGCUAGCUAAAAUUUAGUUGGUGGAACCAAACAGGGCCUUAAUUAAAGAAAAAACAGAAUCUGGGCAACGACACGAUGUUCACUCUGAAUCAAUCAAUGCUGCUACAGAAACGAUCUGAAUCUCUGAACCAAAAGAAUUCCACGGGUGGGGUGGUACAAAGCACAGGUCAGGAACACAAACACACACAGGCAAGCAAGAAGAAGGCAUCACGCGACGCAUGUCGACAGCACUACGGCGGCUCUCGUUCGUCUAGGAGACAUCAUCAGUGGCGCAGGUUGCCGAGGAGGAGCGCGACGGCCGGGCAGAGCACGGCGGCAACGAGCGACGAGGAGACGGACGCGGCGCCGGAGGUGGGGCUCGGCGCGGGGGCGUCGGCGGCGAAGGCGACGCCGGCGAAGGCGGAUACGGCGACGGCCGCGACGACGGCGGCGCGCAACAUCUUGGAGGAGGCCAUGACGAUUUGGAAGCUAGCGAACAGAGAUUUGCCUGCGCUAGCUUUUGAGCUGAGCUCGUAGGGAAAUUGCAAACGAUUUGUGUGUGUGUGUGUGUGUGUGAGGUCGGAGGUGGUGAGAGCGCGUGUGUUUAUAGGUGGGCGGAGGAGAAGGUUUGGUGGGCCCACGUUCACAGUCUGGCUGGCCUAUUUCCCAUCAGCCAGCUCAUAAUUAGUGGCAGCCCAUAAUUUAGCGUAAAGUUAGAAGACUGAUGGUUUUCAGUCACAUAAAACCAAAGCUACAAUUAGUAGCAGAGAUUUUUUCUACUAAUACAAGAGAAUUCAUAAUUGUGAUUUUGGGGACUUGCUUUUUUAAAAUUG